UACGUAGGGGGCGAGCGUUGUCCGGAUUUAUUGGGCGUAAAGAGCUCGUAGGCGGUUUGGUAAGUCGGGUGUGAAAUCUCCACGCUCAACGUGGAGGGGCCACUCGAUACUGCCAUGACUCGAGUCCGGUAGAGGAGUGUGGAAUUCCCGGUGUAGCGGUGAAAUGCGCAGAUAAUCGGGAGGAACACCCGUAGCGAAGGCGGCACUCUGGGCCGGAACUGACGCUGAG
rnacentral:rRNA from 1 species